rnacentral:lncRNA from 8 species
UAAGGGCAUUUCAGCAAGCCAUACAGUGUGUGUUUGCCAGUGUAUAAUAAGGCUGGGCAGUGUAUGUCCAAGACUCGUCCACCAAAAAUAAACCUGCAUGAGAGGGAAAGAGAGAGAGAGUGAGAGCGAGAGGGAGGAGGAAGAUAAGAGCCCUUACAACAGAGAAGAGUUUGGGAAACAGUAUGCGUUUCAAUUGAUUAAGAACUGCGCAAUUUCUUAGUAUCCAUCGCCGCUUUGGUCCUGGUGCCCUUCUACAAUAUAUCGAUAUCUAAAGGCGUGUUUGGAUUGAACAUGCGUGUGGCAAACCCGCCCGCGGUGCACGCAUAGCCUAUACCGGCGGUUGUAGCAGCUACGUACUUGGCUUGGCGAUUUUGAAAAGGAAUGUUCAAUUCUUCUGCGAGAGGGCUGUACAUUCAUUUUGGAAGACGAUAUGCAAGAUUAAAGAUUACUGUACAGCUUUGAAAUUGUGCAACAACACGAGACUAAUCGUUGUGCCAUGCCCAUGGCUGAUUCUCUAAAUGCUCUCUUCUCUCCCCAAGCAACGAUUUCAUAAUGUAUCUGCGUGUACAGUUUCUGCAAGCCGACAUUUUCUAAAUGGAGCAAGGAUUUUUGACACAUUAUUUCGCUAUUACUUAAUUUUGGGAACGGUUUUGGGAGGCUACGUGGCUGAACGAACGUCAUUCGUGUGGAAAGAUGUGUUACGACGUUGUUUUUUUGUUGAUGUUACAGUGUGCAGCAACCGCACCUCCCAUGAGAAAGCAGCAUGCACAAACAGGUACAGGCGAUACCUGGCCCACGCAGGUACACACCCACGCACAGAACACACGCGGUGGGAGGACAACACUGUGGCAGGUGAGAGGAAUAGAGGUGUGUGUGUCCUAAUAGACUAG